rnacentral:rRNA from 1 species
UUGAACGCUGGCGGAAUGCUUUACACAUGCAAGUCGAACGGCAGCACGGGGGCAACCUUGGUGGCGAGUGGCGAACGGGUGAGUAAUACCUAGGAACAUGUCCAGUAAUGGGGGAUAACGCAGCGAAAGCUGUGCUAAUACCGCAUACGACCUGAGGGUGAAAGCGGGGGAUCGCAAGACCUCGCGCGAUAGGAGCGGCCGAUAUCGGAUUAGCUUGUUGGUGAGGUAAAGGCUCACCAAGGCGACGAUCCGUAGCUGGUCUGAGAGGACGACCAGCCACACUGGAACUGAGACACGGUCCAGACUCCUACGGGAGGCAGCAGUGGGGAAUUUUGGACAAUGGGGGCAACCCUGAUCCAGCCAUUCCGCGUGAGUGAAGAAGGCCUUCGGGUUGUAAAGCUCUUUCAGCAGGAACGAAACGGUGGCUACUAAUACUAGCUACUAAUGACGGUACCUGAAGAAGAAGCACCGGCUAACUACGU